rnacentral:rRNA from 1 species
UACGGAGGGUGCAAGCGUUAUCCGGAUUCACUGGGUUUAAAGGGUGCGUAGGUGGGUCUGUAAGUCAGUGGUGAAAUCUCCGUGCUUAACAUGGAAACUGCCAUUGAUACUAUAGGUCUUGAAUACCGUGGAGGUCAGCGGAAUAUGUCAUGUAGCGGUGAAAUGCUUAGAUAUGACAUAGAACACCAAUUGCGAAGGCAGCUGGCUACACGAAUAUUGACACUGAUGCACGAAAGCGUGGGGAUCAAACAGG